UACGAAGGGGGCUAGCGUUGUUCGGAAUCACUGGGCGUAAAGCGCACGUAGGCGGAUCUUUAAGUCAGAGGUGAAAUCCCAAGGCUCAACCUUGGAACUGCCUUUGAUACUGGGGAUCUUGAGUCCGGGAGAGGUGAGUGGAACUGCGAGUGUAGAGGUGAAAUUCGUAGAUAUUCGCAAGAACACCAGUGGCGAAGGCGGCUGUCUGGUCCGGUUCUGACGCUGAGGCGCGAAAGCGUGGGGAGCAAACAGG
rnacentral:rRNA from 1 species